GGGAAAAGAAGGGACCUGUUGGACCUUCUUCAUUUUAUAAACAACACCGCUAAAUAGUGUAUUUACAUGAGAAUUUAUCGCGGUGUAUGAAAAACUAAGAAUGUAGCUUAUUAGUAGAGUAAACACUCUUCGAAUGUGGUGUUUGAUGUUUUGGUAACACAGCAGCAAAUAUCACCAUGCCGCUGAGGAGAGCUAAACUGAGUCCCAUGCCAUUUACGAUCAUGGAUUCCGUGCAACGUUUCUGUACAGCUCCGUUUGUUUGCAAGAAGGUUAACUUUUCGAGAAGUCCUGUUUCUGCUGUUGCCACUGC
rnacentral:misc_RNA from 1 species